UGGGGAAUAUUGCACAAUGGGCGCAAGCCUGAUGCAGCCAUGCCGCGUGUAUGAAGAAGGCCUUCGGGUUGUAAAGUACUUUCAGCGAGGAGGAAGGCGGUAAGGUUAAUAACCUUAUCGAUUGACGUUACUCGCAGAAGAAGCACCGGCUAACUCCGUGCCAGCAGCCGCGGUAAUACGGAGGGUGCAAGCGUUAAUCGGAAUUACUGGGCGUAAAGCGCACGCAGGCGGUCUGUCAAGUCGGAUGUGAAAUCCCCGGGCUCAACCUGGGAACUGCAUUCGAAACUGGCAGGCUAGAGUCCUGUAGAGGGGGGUAGAAUUCCAGGUGUAGCGGUGAAAUGCGUAGAGAUCUGGAGGAAUACCGGUGGCGAAGGCGGCCCCCUGGACAAAGACUGACGCUCAGGUGCGAAAGCGUGGGGAGCAAACA
rnacentral:rRNA from 1 species